CGCAGGGAACAGCUCCCUUGCCCAAUGACCGAAGAUGCCUCUAUGGCCUCAUGGGAACGCAGAGGGAAUCUGCAAUCCCCAGACGUUGAGGACGGGACCUUAUGGGUGCAGCGGCGAGUCUCUGAUGUGUAGACUGGGAGCAAGGUGGUUUAAUUCAGAACUCUGUGGUCCAUAGCCUUGGGUUGUAGUGGCCGCAGGCCCCGCUGUAACAAUUAAGCGAGUCGUGAAAAAAAAUGCUGUCGACCGUUGGCUCACGUUAAACAUUUACCAACGACGAAGUUAAACUCCGUUUGCCUUGGUGGCUCAUUUAUUUCCUCGUGUCUAAUUGUUUCUCGUGUCUUAAUUAUUUCCAGGUCCGCCCGGAUGUCCGGUGCCAUUGCAAAGAGGCGAGGGUUGGAGGAGGGGGCCGGGGGGAGGAGGGGGGCGUGGGGGUGGUGAUGGCGAUGGCGUCACGUGACGCGAACAAUGCGUGAACCGGACAGGUCACGUGGAUCGUGGUCAACAGAGUCACGAGGUGAUCGAGAGUUGAGACGAGACCUGGGGACGAGGGAGACAUGCGGAUACUGAGCAAAGAAGGAACGCGGUGCAAAACAAAAAAAAGGCUGGUGUGUGCGCCGUUGAUGGUGAAUGGAGAGGGGCGGACCAGACUGAGGUAUCACGCCGCCGCUGAUGUCGUUGUAGCUGCGGCCGGGACUCGAACUCAGAUCGCCGGACUCGCACACAAACACACACACAGGGCGCAGUGCUCUAACCGCUGCGCCACCGCUCCAUCUCGUAUAAUUACCCAAACGCAAGUCUAUAAAUGUUUGUUACAAUUAUGUAUCUUGCAUGCCAGUUACAGCACAUACUAAUAAUAACAACUAAACGAUAUUAAAGCUAUAUAUCUUUAUUAUCGCGCGCAAGGCAAAUUGAACUAUGCUAUUUAAAUUGGAAUCGAUUAUUUUACGAAGAGCCAAAUGUAUAUCCGCUUUGCAGCGGCUCGUGCGAGGUUCCGCUGCACGGUCGCAGCUCAUACUCUGUCUGUGGGUUGAUGUUGCUCUCUUUGUACUUUGCUCGUGAAGAGAUGUUGAUGUAUUUGCAUCUCAUGUCCAGUGAAUUUAUGGGAGUCUCUUCCGCUAUAAGAUUAAGCCGCCUGUUUAACUAAUGCACGUUAACAGUAGUACAAAAAGACACAGAUCCACACGUAAAGCCUUUAACGGACUGUGUUAGGAAAAGUGCUGUUAGCGAGCAGCACGCAAUGCACACGAUGGUUCUGGGUGGUCAGCAACACUCCCGGCCGCCUUUGUCUCCCCAGUGGUGAUGUUUACACAUUAGGCCAGGUACGAUUUGAGGCUCAGUCGACAUAGGGGAGACCCACCACCGGUUCAGACAAUCGUCGCUGUUGUUGGUGGUGGCCGUGAGCGGGAAUGGAACUUUGGGUCGCCGAGUAAUCCAACCACCACCAUCGUCGCCGUCAAUCAUCAUCAGUCGUGAUUAAUCGAUUACUGGAUGAAGAAUGAUUCGCGUCAGUCACAGCCAUCUUUCACGAUUUUACAUACUGUAUAGGUCAACAUGUAUACUGUAUGUACAACAUAGUGUAUUAGGCUUAAGUGUAAGCGUAAUACAUAUACAUAAUAAAUAAAUCAUGGUUGUAAUAACACACAUGUUUGUACUGCUCUAUGAAUAUCACGAAGCUCUGCGGCUUGCGAUUGUACCAACUCUAUGAUGGUUGACGGGUGGGAUGUCUACUACACUUCAAUGUUUACGACAUUACGUAUUGCACGCGGAAUAUUCAUCAGGGUCCUUGUGCAGAGUAAAAUUAACUCGAUAAAUAUUCAGUACAUUCUUCUCAUACUUGCUCCCAAUUUGUCUCUCCACGUAAACAAAUAAAACAUAUAUAAUGUUAAACACAUUCCCAUCGGCCACGCACACUAUUAUUGCCUUACAUAUAUAUGUAUCCUAACAGUGAGGUUACGCGGUUAAAUUAAAUACGAUAACUUUGUUUUAUAUGUGUACGCUGUUUACCGCUGUUAUUACCGAAGUAAAAUAAAGUAGGCGUUGCUAUAAGAAGGCAUAACAAGUCGUAAAGAUGUAAAUCUACUUAAAAUAAUAAUUACAUGUGCAACCUCGCCUCUUCCUCCAUCCGUUACCUCCUCCACUCUCAACUCGAGCAGAGACAAAGAUCCUCCCCACCAGAUAGCCUCUAACAGACUGUUAGGGCAAGUGCUGUUUGCGAGCACCUGUGGAGGCCGGAACUGCACGCAAUGGGGCUGGCGUUGCCAGGGAUCACAUCCCCUGCCGCCUUUGUCACCUCAGCGUUGCUUUUUUUAUUUUUCCACACCGCACCAGGUUCUCAUUUGAUGCUGAAUCGACCCAGAGAGGGCCCAGGGGCGGCUCAAGACAUUCGUACACUGUGUGAGUUGGUUGUGAGCGGGAAUUGAACUCGUCGCGCCGGGUUUUGCAGCCCAAUGCGCCAACCACUGCGCCACCGCUCCCCACUCAGCUCAAAAACCCACGCGAGUGACCCGACCAUACCUCGACCACGCUGGUGAGUGCUGAGUUGGUUGUUAAACGUUAAGUUAUUUUCGCUGUGAGUUUGCACGCGGCCGAUUAUAAGUUAUUAUUUAAUAAUUUGGUCGCCUGUUCCAAUAUAAAGUGCUGCACUACACACAGCGCGUGUUAGUCAGCAACGUCGCUGCAACUCAGUAACAACAUUGCAGUGCAUUCGAUCUGUGUAAUAUAUUCCCAUAUAGACAUAUAUGUAUAUAUACACAUAUAUAUAAUGCUGUCAUAGUCAGUUCGUUGUCAAAGCUAUUGCUGGAUGAAGGCUGUCUUCCCAUGCUGUCUCGGUCAUGCGGGGGUGGUGGUGGGGGGGGGGGGGGGUGUUUAACCAUACUUCACCACUCUCGGCAGCACGGGUCGUACAGGGCGGCAGAGAAGCAAGCGGAGGGAGCCGUUCCUGACAUCGCUCGCCACUGAAGCUCGCCGGGUCGCGCCUCCUAUUAACACGGUCGCUUAACGUACGGCGCGAAAUAAGUUCAACAUACUGUACUUGCAUACGUGUCCCGGGAAUCAUUGAGCGAAGUCCGCCGCCGGGUUCAUAGCCCAGCGCGCUAACCACUGCGCCACCGCCCCCCCCUCCCCAACAACACGUAAACACGUGGGUUCAUAGCCCAGCGCGCUAACCACUGCGCCACCGCCCCCCCCCCCCUCCCCAACAACACGUAAACAGGUGGCUGUUGUGAACCCAUGGAAUUCGAGAGACAAAUGGAAAGCGGACGAGCCCCGUGUUUUUAUACGAACAAAAAUGACAUUUAUUUGUAUUUGUUAAAUGUAUUCUUGUUCUCCUCUCCAACGCUACAUCGCGACGUCCGAUGUGUUCGCCCAUGUUGAUGUUCUCGUUGUUGUUGUUAUUGCUCUGGCCCGGAGUGGAAUUAGUCCAACGAAACGUAGGAGCAGCAUCGGCAGCAGCAAGCGGCAGCCGCUGUGUUCACCGGGUGAACGGAUUGACAGCGGCGGCGUCAACUCCGCGUGCACGACUCCAAAGAGCGACGCGGUAACAACGCGAGCGCGGCCGCGUCACAGCGCACGUCUCGUCACGUGACGCCUACAAACGCGACCGCGUGUCUGCGGUGGCCAACAACGGGCGACUGUCGACGGGCGAGGACAUUCACGAGCACGUGUAGGAGUUUUACGGAGAGAGCGGUGUUAGUACACCACAGAACGGCGCGCUCUCUCUCUCUCUCUCUCGCUCUCUCUGAUGUGGUUUGUUUUUCGGAUCGUAAACGCGCGUAGUGCUGGCUCGAGGCGAAUUCCCCGGCGUUUGGCUAAAGACACCCUAAACUUAAGCUAUUUUUUUACUUUACCAGGCAAGACCAACUGAGCUAUAUAUUUAUAGCUCUUUUUCAGACGCGACCUGGCUAUCACAAAUUAUGGUUGAAGCAAGUGGCUUAUCACGUGCAAAUGUAUAGCAGACAAAUACUCUAAACGCAUUUUUUCUAAAUGUGAAGGGCAAAACCGGAGGACCCGGAGAAUAAAUUCACGCAACCACCACGGGGGGAAGAUGCGGACUCAGCAGGCGUCAGGGUCGGGAUCAAAUCCACGACCUCCUGUAUACCAGGCGAGGUAGUUAACAUCUCGCCACCUACUCCCGGCAAGUGGAGCGAAACGCCGGACGUCAUGCCGAACGCUACACGUGCUCCGACCCGUAGACACACCCAGGAGCUGUGCAGCACAACCACGGACUGGUGUGUAGCAGAGAGAGAGACAGUCGAUCAUAACAAGAGGAUACUAAAAGCCUUCAGCCUGGGUUUAAGAACAGAGGGCAUGGAGUCGACAGCACGAACGUCUGAGAGAGGUGGGGGAAGAUAUCCAGACCACGUGUGCAGCACAGGAUCAUUCACGACCUUGCUUCAUUCCACACUGAUCAGCUGAGUUCACCAGAGUUCAAGACUCGCUGUCAGGGAGUUCGGUGUCCUUCGUAAUUGUGAGUCCGCAGGUUGAUACAGUAAACUGGCUAAUACAGUAAUUAAAUACACAAUAUAAACUUGUAUUAUUGUUACUACGAAUUAAUACCGUUGUGACAUAUCCAAUAAACGCACUGCAUAUGCCACGCGUA